GAUGAACGCUGGCGGCGUGCCUAACACAUGCAAGUCGAGCGAUUUACUUCGGUAAAGAGCGGCGGACGGGUGAGUAACGCGUGGGUAACCUGCCCUGUACACACGGAUAACAUACCGAAAGGUAUGCUAAUACGAGAUAAAAUACUUUUGUCGCAUGGUAGAAGUAUCAAAGCUUUUGCGGUACAGGAUGGACCCGCGUCUGAUUAGCUAGUUGGUAAGGUAACGGCUUACCAAGGCGACGAUCAGUAGCCGACCUGAGAGGGUGAUCGGCCACAUUGGAACUGAGACACGGUCCAAACUCCUACGGGAGGCAGCAGUGGGGAAUAUUGCACAAUGGGCGAAAGCCUGAUGCAGCAACGCCGCGUGAGCGAUGAAGGCCUUCGGGUCGUAAAGCUCUGUCCUCAAGGAAGAUAAUGACGGUACUUGAGGAGGAAGCCCCGGCUAACUACGUGCCAGCAGCCGCGGUAAUACGUAGGGGGCUAGCGUUAUCCGGAAUUACUGGGCGUAAAGGGUGCGUAGGUGGUUUCUUAAGUCAGAGGUGAAAGGCUACGGCUCAACCGUAGUAAGCCUUUGAAACUGGGAAACUUGAGUGCAGGAGAGGAGAGUGGAAUUCCUAGUGUAGCGGUGAAAUGCGUAGAUAUUAGGAGGAACACCAGUUGCGAAGGCGGCUCUCUGGACUGUAACUGACACUGAGGCACGAAAGCGUGGGGAGCAAACAGGAUUAGAUACCCUGGUAGUCCACGCCGUAAACGAUGAGUACUAGCUGUCGGAGGUUACCCCCUUCGGUGGCGCAGCUAACGCAUUAAGUACUCCGCCUGGGAAGUACGCUCGCAAGAGUGAAACUCAAAGGAAUUGACGGGGACCCGCACAAGUAGCGGAGCAUGUGGUUUAAUUCGAAGCAACGCGAAGAACCUUACCUAAGCUUGACAUCCUUUUGACCGAUGCCUAAUCGCAUCUUUCCCUUCGGGGACAGAAGUGACAGGUGGUGCAUGGUUGUCGUCAGCUCGUGUCGUGAGAUGUUGGGUUAAGUCCCGCAACGAGCGCAACCCUUGCCUUUAGUUGCCAGCAUUAAGUUGGGCACUCUAGAGGGACUGCCAGGGAUAACCUGGAGGAAGGUGGGGAUGACGUCAAAUCAUCAUGCCCCUUAUGCUUAGGGCUACACACGUGCUACAAUGGGUGGUACAGAGGGCAGCCAAGUCGUGAGGCGGAGCUAAUCCCUUAAAGCCAUUCUCAGUUCGGAUUGUAGGCUGAAACUCGCCUACAUGAAGCUGGAGUUACUAGUAAUCGCAGAUCAGAAUGCUGCGGUGAAUGCGUUCCCGGGUCUUGUACACACCGCCCGUCACACCACGGAAGUUGGGGGCGCCCGAAGCCACUUAGCUAACCCUUUUGGGAAGCGAGUGUCGAAGGUGAAAUCAAUAACUGGGGUGAAGUCGUAACAAGGUAGCCGUAUCGGAAGGUGCGGCUGGAUCACCUCCUUUCUAAGGAGAAUUACCUACUGUUUAAUUUUGAGGGUUUAUUAAAAACUUUCAAAAAGAGGGCGAAGCCCAAAAUAAGUACUUUGAGCACCUAGGCACGAACGAACGUGAGUGGAAGGUAGCGAAGUGCGUUAGCACUUUGAAAACUGCAUAACAUUUAGUGAUAUGACAUCAUUUUGAGCAAUGGAUGUAUCUGAAGCGAGAGCGAAGAUAUAUCAUUGGCGAAACAAGCGAAAGCGAGUUUUAAACAUAUAUAGACAAGAAAAGUCUUAAAAAUUACACUUUUUAAUAACUGGUCAAGUUAUUAAGGGUGCAGGGCGGAUGCCUUGGCACUAGGAGCCGAUGAAGGACGUGAUAAGCUGCGAUAAGCUUCGGGGAGUUGCACGUAAACUUUGAUCCGAAGAUUUCCGAAUGAGGAAACUCACUUAGAGUAAUGUCUAAGUAUCGUUAAGUGAAUACAUAGCUUAGCGAGGGGAACCCGGGGAACUGAAACAUCUAAGUACCUGGAGGAAGAGAAAGAAAUUCGAUUCCGUAAGUAGCGGCGAGCGAAAGCGGAACAGGCCAAACCAAUGAAGUUUACUUCGUUGGGGUUGCGGACAUACAACAUGGAUGCAAUAUCGUAAAUGAAGAGAGUUGGAAAGCUCCGCUAUAGAAGGUAAUAGCCCUGUAGUUGAAACGAGAAAGCUACUAGUAUGAUCCAGAGUACCACGGGACACGUGAAACCCUGUGGGAAGCAGGAGGGACCAUCCUCCAAGCCUAAAUACUACCUAGUGACCGAUAGCGCAU
rnacentral:rRNA from 1 species